rnacentral:siRNA from 1 species
GGCGAUCUGUAAUUCCAAACCGG